rnacentral:rRNA from 1 species
AGGAUGCCAACAAGCGCGUCUUCUGCAUCGUUCUGACCGGCAGACCGGGGGAACUCACCCGGCGGAGAACCCUCGGGGCUUGACCUAUGGAGAAAUGUGAAAUGUCUCGCGGGAUGGUGGUGCAUGGCCUGAUACAGGUCUUCCAGCGAUUUGUCUGAUCUUUACGGAGUACGAGGGAGCUGCUGGCUGACUGAAUAAAGUGGCGAUUGCUUUUGUGCCCACCUUGACACAGUGGUCUCCCUGGCUGAGACCGAAGGCCUUGAGAUCGAAAGCGUCUGCCGAUGCCCUUAGAUGCUUGGGGUUGCACAGUUGCUGCACUGUGGAAAUGGUCCUGAUUUGCCUUUUGCGAAAGGAAUUGUUCACAUCCUUCUGAUGUGCCAUGUUUGUCAUCAUAAAUAUGGAUUAGAGUAUCCGAAUGAUCAUGACCACGUCGAGGAGAUCCAUCAGCUCGAAGUCACUAUCUCACUGCCCUUUGAACACUUCCAUCUGCCCUGCUCGGGACUGAGCGGUUUCACCCUA